CUCGCAGGGGAACCCCCUCCCAUCAGGGCGUGAGAUCGACGACAGCCGCUCGGCGUCGUGGCCCCCGACCUCAGAAAACACACUGCAACAUUAAGCCUGGUUACACUCAGCAACUUCAGUGAGCGUGAGUGGCGGGCGUUGCUAACAAGAAAUCCACGGUAAACGGCCGGAGACGACCCAUCCAAACACAGCCCUCCUCGACUGCAGCCGUUUGAUGCAUUGUGAUAGUAAUUUUCGUGUUUCUGCUGAGUAUCCAUUACCUUUCACUGUUUUAUUUGUUAG